rnacentral:rRNA from 1 species
AUCGAUGAAGAACGCAGUGAAAUGCGAUAAGUAAUGUGAAUUGCAGAAUCUCGUGAAUCAUCGAAUCUUUGAACGCACAUUGCGCCCUAUGGUAUUCCGUAGGGCAUGCCUGUCUGAGCGUCAGCUCCCACCCCACUCAAGUAUCUAUUUAUCAGAUGCUUGGAAUGCUUUGGAGAAGUGUCUUGUUAUAGAGACGCCCCCCAGAAAUUGAUAGGCAGUAUGGUUUGCACCUGAACCAGACGUAAUAAUAAUAAAAUCGUUUGUUUAGGUAUAAUUGUGCUUGCCUCAACCCACCCAUUUUUUUAUUUUUUUAUCUUUGGGUGACCUCAGAUCAGGUAGGGAUACCCGCUGAACUUAAGCAUAUCAAUAAGCGGAGGAAAAGAAACCAACAGGGAUUGCCCUAGUAACGGCGAGUGAAGCGGCAAAAGCUCAGAUUUGAAAUCUGUCGUCAUUUUGGCGUCCGAGUUGUAGUCUGUAGAGGUGUAUUCGAGUGUGGCUUUGGCUUAAGUUCCUUGGAACAGGACGUCAUAGAGGGUGAGAACCCCGUUAACGGCCUUUGUCUUAUGCUCAUGUGAAUCUCCUUCAACGAGUCGAGUUGUUUGGGAAUGCAGCUCUAAAUGGGUGGUAAAUUCCAUCUAAAGCUAAAUACCGGCAAGAGACCGAUAGCGCACAAGUAGAGUGAUCGAAAGAUGAAAAGAACUCUGAACAGAGAGUUAAAUAGUACGUGAAAUUGUUGAAAGGGAAGCACUUCCGACCAGACGCACUUGCAGCCGAUCAAUCUUCAUUCUUGAGGGUGCACUCGGUUGUCUGUGGGUCAGCAUCAGUUAUGGCGGUGGGAAAAAGACUAAAGGAAUGUAGCUCCUUUCGGGGAGUGUUAUAGCCUUUGGUGCAAUGCUGCCUGCUGUGACUGAGGACCGCGCUUCGGUGAGGAUGCUGGCAUAAUGGUCGUAAGUGACCCGUCUU